UCAGGCCGACGACUUUACCUGAUUUUUCGAGAGGUGGUGCAUGGCCGUCGUCAGUUCGUACCGUAAGGCGUUCUGUUAAGUCAGAUAACGAACGAGACCCUCGUCCUUAAUUGCCAACCCAUUCUCCGGAGUGGGCGCACAUUAAGGGGACCGCUGGCGCUAAGUCAGAGGAAGGAGAGGUCAACGGUAGGUCAGUAUGCCCCCGAAUCUCCCGGGCUACACGCGCGCUACAAAGGACAGGACAAUGGGAUGCAAUACCGAGAGGUAACGCCAACCCCGAAACCUGUUCGUAGUUCGGACUGAGGGCUGUAACCCGCCCUCACGAAGCUGGAUUCCGUAGUAAUCGCGGGUCAACAUCCCGCGGUGAAUAUGCCCCUGCCCUUU
rnacentral:rRNA from 1 species